UCUAGACUCUCUGAAAUGCCAUUUCCCGGACUUUGGGGAGAGAUUUUACAGAAUUCUGAUGGUCAGAAAACGACAUUGUAACAUAUCAGAGGCCCUGGCCAAUGUAUUUGCUCUACAGCCUGAGCCUGGGGGCCCCCCAUUUGGCCCAUUGGGGUUGGGGGCCCCCGGGUUCUCCCGGUCUGAGCCCAUAGUAGUUACGCCACUGA